GAAAUCAACAGUGAUUGUCCGUUCAAACCAUCAGAUAUUGAUUUAACUCCACAGGAGAACUUAUUGGUCUUAGGCUAUAGCUCUUGUUGUUUCCAUGUCUUGGAUGAGCGCAGCAAUUUCAAAGAGUUUUAUGACAUUAAACAUAUAAACAUUGAUGGAUUACCUCAAACAUUUUCCUUUGGAAACAAUUAUGAACACUUAUAUAUUGAAAAUAUGCAAUCUGAAAACAGCAAAUCAAAGUCAAAAGUAUGUGUACAUGUAGUUCAAACGCCGUUUUGAAAAUAGUUUUUAGUUAACUUUUGAAUACUUGACGAACUACAAUAUCACAUGUCAUCAAUUAAUAUUGCAAUCAUGCUUGCGUUUUCGUUUAAGUGCAAAAUAUCACACCGUCCAGCAAUGAAUGAUUUAAUUUACGGUGUGGUACACACUAAAAGUUUCAAAUUUCUGCUCGAAAAACAAAUUUCACAUUCACAAGAUAUUAAUGUUUUCUGUCCUGCUCUAGAUGAUGCUUAAAAUGAAGCUGAUAUUUGAUUGGUAGAAUGUAUGAUUUUGUUACCUUAUUAGGUAUUUUGAAUUCGAUUUGUAAAGAGUUUGUAAAAAUAAAAUCCUUGAUAUUAUAUUCCUUAUUAUUACUGUUCUUUAACCUUACAUCCCAGCUCCUUUGUUCUAACAGGAGUG
rnacentral:lncRNA from 1 species